rnacentral:rRNA from 1 species
CGGGAUAAACGCUGGCGGCAUGCCUAAUACAUGCAAGUCAAACGGGAAGUAGCAAUACUUCUAGUGGCGAACGGGUGAGUAACACGUGGGCAACCUGUCCUAAAGAUUGGGAUAACAGUUGGAAACGACUGAUAAUACCGAAUAAUAAGUCGUCUCGCAUGAGAUGAUUUUGAAAGGCGCUUCAAAGCGUCACUUCAGGAGGGGCCUGCGGCGCAUUAGCUAGUUGGUGAGGUAACGGCUUACCGAGGCGAUGAUGCGUAGCUGCGCUGAGAGGCGAUACAGCCACAUUGGGACUGAGAACGGCCCAAACUCCUACGGGAGGCAGCAGUAGGGAAUUUUCGGCAAUGGGGGAAACCCUGACCGAGCAAUGCCGCGUGAAUGAAUGAAGGUCUUCGGAUUGUAAAAGUUCUGUUGUUGAGGAAGAAUCGUAGCUAUAGGAAAUGAUAGUUACUUGACGGUACUUAACGAGAAAGCCCCGGCUAACUAUGUGCCAGCCGCCGC